rnacentral:rRNA from 1 species
CACGUAGGGGGCGAGCGUUGUCCGGAUUCAUUGGGCGUAAGAGCUCGUAGGCGGCUCAGCAAGUCGGGUGUGAAACCUCCAGGCUCAACCUGGAGACGCCACUCGAUACUGCUGUGGCUAGAGUCCAGUAGGGGGAGCGUGGAAUUCCUGGUGUAGCGGUGAAAUGCGCAGAUAAUCAGGAGGAACACCAAUUGCGAAGGCAGCUCGCUGGGACGUCACUGACGCUGAGACGCGAAAGCGUGGGGAGCAAACAGG